GGGUUUGGGUUUGGGGAGGACAGGCUGGGGGGAGGCUGAGGCUGGGGCUGGGGGUACGUGGAGCUUGGCAGCAGAGUUGUGUGCGCAGGAGGGACUGGGCUGGAGCAAGGAAUGGGCACAUCUGCACAACAGGGUGGAAACAGGAGACAAAAAUAGUUGUUGUAGACUCCUCAGUGGUGAAAAAAGAGCUCAGCACACUGGUCUGAUUGAAACAUGGUGGGGGUGAUGGGAAUCAAUAACAGUACCUGCAAUUGUAGCAGGUGUGUUAGGUCAUAAAGCAGGAAGACUACAUCUAAAGGUUGCUGUAAAAUCUGAGGAAAUUGGGGUACUGACAACCAAACAGCCACAUUUAUGCUGGAUAUAAAUUCUGUAUUUUAAUGACAUGGGGGUAUUAGGAAGUUUUCUAUUCCAGACAGAAGGAAAGUUGAGGAUUUCAUGAGCCUUGGGAAGAAAACAGGCUCAUGCAUCUUCAUAAACCUGUUAGAAAAAGUAAGUUCCAUUAUGACUUGUGCUGUCUGGCCAGAUUGUUUGGCAAGGAACUGGCUAACAUUUUGGUGAGCAAACAUCUUGAUUUACUUAAAGGAUAAAUUCUUGUGACAGCCUGGUCUAGAGUUAGCCUUUGUUAAGGACUAAAACAUAAGAACUGAUUCAAGAUACAAGAUACAAUUAUUGUAGCAGUGACCACCUGGGGUCACUGAACUGCAGGUUCAGCAUUCUCGGGGUAGAAGGUGCUGGACUAAAAGUGAGUCUUGUGUUCCAAAAUAUUGCAGGGGAGAACAUAAGAAAAAUUAAAUCCUUAGACUUACCAUAGAUACCUGGGAUGGUUACUGGCAUCCAGGUGAGGCAGAACUCUGUCAUGAAAGAGCAAACAACCCUAAAACUGUUGUUAAAAAUAGUUAUAAAGGAAGGGACUUCUGGAGUUCAGGAAUAUUACACCAAAGGACAGUCCACCUCUUGAGGAGCAGACUGGAAGAACCAUGUUGUAGGGCAGGUAACCAUGAUCUGAAAAUGAAGCAGUUUAGGAGUGGCUUUGCAGAGCUGGGGGCUUUGGGAAGCCAGUGCUGUCUGAGGGACGUCAGAGACAGGGCUGGGGAAAAAAUCUGCCUGUGCAGGACUGAAGACAGAAUUUAUUUCCUGCCUUACUUCAUGCCACUGGAGCCACUCCUCCAUGUCAUUCUGGAGCACAGAGCCUGUUUGAGAGCCUGUCCAUCACCUCAGCCUUUUGGGUGAGAUAAGGAGCCUUCCUCUGAAACUCAAGCAAGGCAGAGAUGCUGGAGCAAAGCAGGAAAUUCAAGUGGAGGAGCAACAGGUGUAUCAAGGGGUUUUGAAAAAGCUUGGGACUGAAACAUUUAAAGGUACUAACAAAAACAGGGCUGUCAAAAAACAGCUUAGUAUUCUCCAUGACUAGACCACAUCCUGAUGUCAGGUUAUUCUUCUUUUUUAAUUAAAGUAUUAAUCGAGGCACUGGGAAUUCCAGAUCAGCAACCCUGAACUCCAGUUGGAGAAGCAGAAGCUGAAGUGCUGUAGCUCUUCAAUGUGUGAGAGGUAAAAAGCAACACACUUUCUGCAGAGAAAGGGGGUUGGACCAGGUGAUCCCUUCCAACCCAAUCCAUUCUUUGAUUCUAUGAUCAGUCUGGUUUGCUGGGGCACCUACAAGAAUAUCUGAACAGCAGGAUAAAAAAUAGGCUUGUAAUGAGAAGAGAAAUACCACAGAGUCCUGCCUUGGCUGCAGUUGAUAUUUGUUGCUUAGGAAGCAAAAGGUGGACUAAAGUCAAUUAGAGAAGGUGAUUAAAGGCUUCCAAGUCUGCAUCUUCAGCUUCUGAGCAAAUGAGUUCCAUUCAAUGGUUUCAUUAAACCCAGAGUUGCUGGCUGGAGAAGGGUUGAUUUUUAUGAAACUUUAGUGGUGGACUGCACUAGGUUCUGGUUGCAAAGUCUGGUUUGAGGGGAGAAACAAGCCCAGAAUACUGGGUGAUAUGGCAUCUAGAUUUCUCCUGUAAAGCAACACCCCCAGUUCAAAUUCCUGCCUUGAGCUGGACUUGCAGGUCUGCCAGAUCCCAGCAGCUGAUAUUGUGGGUAUGUUCUGUUUUCUUAUCUUUUUACUAGGAAAAAUCUCAAAGGUCUUGAUUUUUAUAAUGGGCAGAAAGAGAAGAAGGUCUGGGCAGCAUCUUCCAGCUCUUGCCUAGGUCUGUCCUUGUGGGAGGGUUGUUGGUGUAUGCACAUGCAGAUUUCUCUUCCCAAGAGAUCCAGGAGAACCCACAGGUCACUGGUGUCAGUUUUAGACUUCUUAAAAGUCUAGGGGUCAUGGCAAACACCCUGGCUUCCCCCACCUUCCCUGUCUCCAGUAGAUCGUGGUAGCAGAGAGUGAAUGCUUUGAUAAGUCAUUGGAGUUUGCAAUAGAAGCAGGACAAGUGCAGGCACCCUGAGGUUUUCAGUCAGAGUUUAUGUUUAAAGACAAGGAGCAGAGUGGUUGGGUUAGAAUGGAGAUGUCACCCCAGCCUGGAUGUGGCUGGAAAAUUGAGAAGAGCAUAAGGUUUGGUGCUGUGAGCAUGGGGAUGACCCUGGGACAUAGGAGACAACAGGGAAAAAAGAAAAAAAAAAACAAUUUAAUGCUCUGUCAGUAUGUCAGGCUGUAAGUGAAUUGUUCAUUCAGGAAGAACAACUGAGAUUCUGGUAGCAAAUGAAGGUUUGUAGCCUGCCCCAGGAAUCCUGCACAUUCCAGGUCUAGGUGCAGGUCUGUGAGGCUGCUGAGCUGGAGCUCCUCUGUUCCACAGCUCGUGAGACCCCACAGUGUCCCCGUGCUGCUCUCUCUGGUGAUCUGGUGGUUGUCACUGGCACAACCUUUGUCCCUACCCCUAGAAAUCCAUUAUAUUGCUCACUUCUAGUUAAAUUAUACCAGCUGACUUUGAAGUACUCAAUAUAAAACCGUCGUGGUAUGCUUGCAUGAUAGUUAUUUGAUGUAAGACAACAAUUUCUUGUGCUCUCUCUUUAGGAAUUUGGGCUUUGAGUUUCACUGGAGUGUGUAUGUACCCAACUGCACAGGAUCAGGCCCAUCUCUGUUUUAAAAUGUAUUUCACAUCUGCAAUUAGAAAUGUUCUAGGAAACAAAUUAGGAGAUGGAGUUGUCUGUCACAGGCUCAGAUGAUCAUAGCGACUUGUGCUAAAGGCUCCGUCCUCGUAGAGACCUGCACGGCUGCUUUGUGUAACUGCUGUCAGAGCUCUGGCGUGCUGGUAAUAGUGUUUUUUAAUAAAUGUACUGACUAUACUCACCUUUAAAUCCUCUUAGGUACCAAUAAUUAUCGCUGGUAUUCUGUACAUUAGCUCUGUACUAGCAUUCACAUUGGACUAGGCUUAAUAGCGUGAGUGUCAAAGAUGACUUGAAAAAGGAAAAUUAAUUUAUACCCUUUAAGUGUGGUUCUACCCCGUGUAGUGGGUGCUUUGUGGAAGAACCAGAAGUGCUGCAGCUGUCUUCCCCCUUUUACUUGCUGUGAUUUUCUGCAGCAGAACAUACAGAUUGAAGUCUGUUUUUCCAUCCUUUGGAGACACUGAGAUAUUAUCAUGGUGAGGUCCAUGGAAAUACCCAGACCAGCUGGGCCCUCACGCAGAGAUAAGGCAUCUUUUCCUUUUUUUUUUUUUUUUUUCUUCUGCUGUCCAUCCUUCAAGUUUUUGUUUGUUUUAAAGUAAAAUAGUCAUUCCCUCAUGUGUCAAUGCAACAUCCUCUAGGAUAUUUGUGAUCUUCCAGGAAAGGUAGACAGGACUGGAAUAACUAAUGCCAAAAAAUCGCCCGUGGCAAGGGAGGAAAAUCCUUGUUUUCAAGGCAAACCCCAUCCAGACUUUUUUCAGCACACCACAAGGGUAUAAAUCCCGACUUCUUCUUUUCCAGGUGAUCUUUUAGGCCGAGUAGCAGAGGGCAGGGUUUUGCCCUCCAUGGGGUUGCGGUGCCGUGCGGCACCCGCGCCGUCCCGCAGGUCUGAGCCCCCGGCACCCCGGCGUUUAGGGAGCUCCAUGGGGUUGGCUUUCACCAUGUCCUCAAUUUGGAUCCCCAGGGCAGAAAAAUUAGGACUUUCUCAGUUAAAGAAAAAAAAAAAAAACCCAAAAGUGAAGGAAAAUCUCUGGAGAGUUGUGUUUCCCCACAGCAGUGACGGCCCCUCAGCACCCACUUCUGUUCAGCCAGGACGCCCGGGUCAGUCCUGCUGGGUUUUUAGCCAUCUUGACCUCAUGUUUGCAAAUAUUAUUGGUAAUAUAAUGCUCUAUGUACAAAUGUCUGUGUGGCUCAUGUGUAUGUUUCUGUGGUUCAAGUCAGCCACAGACUUCUGGAAUUUCAUUGUACUUUGGUUAAAUGUUGGACUUUUAACUCUUCUACUGUAUGGCUUCUUGAUUUCUCUUGUCCAAUGUGGACCAACUCUAUUUUUGGAAAUAAAUAAGCAUGUAAAUAAAAUGAAUGGGUUUAUGCCACUUACAAGAAAAUGCUUUAUUUAAAAUAUACACUCAGUCUUGUAUAUUUUAUGGUAUCUCAGGCCCCAGCAGCCUUGUGCUGAGAUACCAUAUUAUGUACAAAUUCACUUCCAAGUGCUUUUGGAAGCAGGCUUCCCAUCUCCUGAGCCAAACCCCCGUAGGACCAGCCUUGAGGAGGAGGGAGGGGGGAAUCCAGAAACACAUGGUUUAAGGGGAGUAAAGGAAACAAACACAACUUUCCUCUCAACACAAGGCUUCUGGUUUGAGGUGUCCAGGUGCCAGAGACACUGCAGGGAUGCCAUGGGUCGGUUCUCAGCUCCUGCCUGGGAGCACGUGGAGAUCAGGAGCACGAUGACAUCUCUUUUUUUAUUAUUUUUUUUAAUUUUUUUUUUUAAUUCUCCAUAUAAACCAAUAUUUACCAGUAAUCCUGUGUUUCUGUUUUUGUUUUUUGGCAGACUUUUACCAGUAAAUAUCGGUUUAUUCCUGAAACCAGAAGCCCUAAACAUACCUUUGUUUAUAAGGUCAGUUGGCAUUUUGUCUCUCUCAUUCCCCACUCCCCCCCAGUACAACCCAGCAGGUGGUUGAAAGGUACCGAGUUCUCUUUCUAGUUUUCCUGCUCUGCAUCUCUGGGAACUGGAGCCUGCAGGACCUAGAGCCUUCUGUUGGUAAUGUAGAUCCGAGUUUACAAAUUAUUCUUUUACCAUUUUAAAUCCUGCUUUUAAGGACAGAGGUGUUCCCGCCUGCCCACCACGGGAACUGGUAGCAAAACCCCUAAAAUUGCUCCUCCUCUCCGAAGCCUGCGGGUAGGUCUCUCACUAGCAUCUUCAGCCUUGGGGCUGAGAAAAUAAUUUAUCCCAAAAUAUACACUAAAAUCUGCCAUUUCUGGUUUACUGUGAGCAGGACUGGGGGAGGGAAGGGCGGGAAAGGAGUUUGAAACUUACUUUUCUCCCCCUUUUUUCCUAGAAAGCAAAUGUGACAUUUGGGAGGAGGGAGAGAAUGUGAACGUGGCCCUUCCUAAACUCAUUGUAAACUCCUCCUCCGAGGCUGGGAAAAAGGGCAAGUGAAAGAUCUGAUCCUUAAAAGGACAUCACUGGGUGUCUGAGACCCCAAAAGCAGCUGGCAAAUUUUAAGGACUCAAAUUGCUUUUGGUUUAUCCCAAGACAAAUUGACUUGGGAAUGUUGAAGCCUCCUUUCUCCCCACAAGAAUUUGCCACCCAAACACUGCACUGUUUUGUUAAUACUCCAGAAACAGAGAAUCUGAUGAGGGAUAGAAAAUGAGUUGACUGCGCUGUCCUGGCCAAUUUUUAUUCUCCCAAGCGAACAAAAUGCGGGAAAAAAAAAUUUAAAAAAAAAAUACCAAAGCCCUUCCCCAAAAAAAGACCUCCUAAAAAAGCAAGUCAAAGAGGAUCUCAAAUGCCCAGUCUGGUUUUGUUGUACAUGGUGACAGGGGUGUUUUUGGCAUAGCUGCAGCCCUACAAUGUCCCUUUAAGGAGCACCAUGGCUCGUUUCCUCCUGAGGGUUUUGCUGUUCCUGAGAGCAGAUCGAAGCUCCUGCAGCCUUAGUUGGAGUCCAGAAUGAGGGGAGCCCUUCCAGCUGUGCACUUUGAGCUGAACACUACCUUUCCUCCCCUUUUGCAGCCUGGGUGGUUCUGAUUGCUGGCAGUUCUGUAAUACAACCUUAAUCUGAGCAGUUGAGGCUGGUCCUACCUUAUCUUCAGACGUCUUGCGGAGGACUCCUGUUACCAGUUUGGUACUCAAAAGCUACACCCCACCAUCAGAAGUCACUUUUUUGGUUUUUUUUUUUUCCAAAGGCAGUGAUAGCUCACCCUCUCUAGCUCUAAUGGAAAACCUGAUAAUUGCAAUGCAACUUUCUAAUAAAUUGUUCAUAUAUUCAUAAUUCCAUUGCAAUCCCAAAUUGGAGAAGAGAUCUGUUAAAGUGCACUGGUGUACCAAGCCUCAGAACCACUGCUUUCUCCAGCUCAUAGGAUGCUUUUCCAGACUGUGGAUACGUGUAUGUGUACUGCUGUGUUGAUAAGUAAAUGCCAACGAUGGAGUUCGUUGCUUUUAUACAUCCCAAAGAGAAGUUCUCCACCGUUCACUGUCUGUUUUCUGACCGAAAAGGCGUGUGUUUGUGAACAGUGUUCACGCCAGCUCUGCCACCCCACCCUCACAUCAGCUCACACCAAGGCCAGGAUGGGAGGAGUUGCCUGCGUACCUUCCCCAAAACACCCCGGGCCGCAGUGGCAUCGUCAGGGAGCAGUUCUGACCUGUGUCCUUUGGGCUUUGUGUAAAGCAAAUGCAGAACAAGAAAAAUCGAGAUGUUAAAUCCAUUAGAAAACAAAUUCCUUAUUGUACAGUAGUAUGGAGAUCUCUAGUCAACCUGCCAUUAAUAAUAGAUUCUUAUUUUUUGAAUGAUCUAUUUAAAAGAACAGCAAGCAUUGUAUUUGCUAGUAAAUCUGAAGUGUUUACAUGGAAUUACUAAAUAAAUUAUUUGAUCUAA